AUUGAACGCCGGCGGCAUGCUUUACACAUGCAAGUCGAACGGUAACAGGUUAAGCUGACGAGUGGCGAACGGGUGAGUAAUGCAUCGGAACGUGCCCGAUCGUGGGGGAUAACGCAGCGAAAGCUGCGCUAAUACCGCAUACGAUCUGAGGAUGAAAGCGGGGGACCGUAAGGCCUCGCGCGAUCGGAGCGGCCGAUGUCAGAUUAGGUAGUUGGUGGGGCAAAGGCUCACCAAGCCAACGAUCUGUAGCUGGUCUGAGAGGACGACCAGCCACACUGGGACUGAGACACGGCCCAGACUCCUACGGGAGGCAGCAGUGGGGAAUUUUGGACAAUGGGCGAAAGCCUGAUCCAGCAAUGCCGCGUGCAGGAAGAAGGCCUUCGGGUUGUAAACUGCUUUUGUAUGGAGCGAAAAGGCUCUCUCUAAUACAGGGGGCUCAUGACGGUACCGUAAGAAUAAGCACCGGCUAACUACGUGCCAGCCGCCGCAGUAA
rnacentral:rRNA from 1 species